CGGGCGAAGGUCUCAUGAUA
rnacentral:miRNA from 1 species